rnacentral:rRNA from 1 species
GACGAACGCUGGCGGCGUGCUUAACACAUGCAAGUCGAACGGAAAGGCCCUGCUUUUGUGGGGUGCUCGAGUGGCGAACGGGUGAGUAACACGUGAGUAACCUGCCCUUGACUUUGGGAUAACUUCAGGAAACUGGGGCUAAUACCGGAUAGGAGCUCCUGCUGCAUGGUGGGGGUUGGAAAGUUUCGGCGGUUGGGGAUGGACUCGCGGCUUAUCAGCUUGUUGGUGGGGUAGUGGCUUACCAAGGCUUUGACGGGUAGCCGGCCUGGGAGGGUGACCGGCCACAUGGGGACUGAGAGACGGACCAGAAUCCUACGGGAGGCAGCAGUGGGGAAUAUUGCGCAGUGGGCGGAAGCCUGAUGCAGCAACGCCGGGUGCGGGAUGACGGCCUUCGGGUUGUAAACCGCUUUGUCCGGUGACGAGGCGUGAGUGACGGUAAUGGGUAAGGAAGCCCCGGCUAACUACGUG